rnacentral:rRNA from 1 species
UACGUAGGAUGCAAGCGUUGUCCGGAAUUAUUGGGCGUAAAGAGCGCGCAGGCGGUAUGACAAGUCAGAUGUGAAAGAGGCCGGCUUAACCGGCAAGGUCAUUUGAAACUGUCAGACUAGAGUGCAGCAGAGGAUAGUGGAAUUCCCGGUGUAGUGGUGAAAUGCGUAGAUAUCGGGAGGAACACCAGUGGCGAAGGCGACUAUCUGGCUGCAACUGACGCUGAGGCGCGAAGGCUAGGGUAGCAAACAGG